rnacentral:misc_RNA from 1 species
GUUGAUGUUGAUGAGGGUAUAUUACAAAUCUUAGCAAUAUUUUCCCUACUCAUCAUUUGUUUUUGGGUUUCUAAUUCUUGGUCUGUCUUCCAAUUUAAAGUGCGUUGAAAAGAUGUUAAAUUGCAAGUCUUAUCUGGUGAAGGUUUUGUGCGAAAUUCAUGAAAUAAUUCUAUCAAACACGAGGUCUUUUGUUAAAGCUGUAUGGCUGUAGUGAAAGUUGUGCAGUUAACAAUUUUGGGAAAUUAAUAUUUAACUUUGACACCAUCGGUUGCUCUCUGGUGGUGAUGUUGCACUCCAUUGUUUCUGGUCAUUUGCUGACCAAGCAUGAUUUGCAUAAUCAUAUAGCUUCUCAUUUUAUAUUCACUUGAAGUUCUGUUUUCUGGCUUCCUUUUUCUGAUUCAUUAUUUGCUUAUUUUUCUUCUGCUUUGAUGUGAGCAGUUCUUGGGAACUUUGUAUCGGCU